rnacentral:rRNA from 1 species
AGACCCGAAACCCGGUGAUCUAGCCAUGGGCAGGUUGAAGGUUGGGUAACACUAACUGGAGGACCGAACCGACUAAUGUUGAAAAAUUAGCGGAUGACCUGUGGCUGGGGGUGAAAGGCCAAUCAAACCGGGAGAUAGCUGGUUCUCCCCGAAAGCUAUUUAGGUAGCGCCUCGUGAAUUCAUCUCCGGGGGUAGAGCACUGUUUCGGCUAGGGGGCCAUCCCGGCUUACCAACCCGAUGCAAACUGCGAAUACCGGAGAAUGUUAUCACGGGAGACACACGGCGGGUGCUAACGUCCGUCGUGAAGAGGGAAACAACCCAGACCGCCAGCUAAGGUCCCAAAGUCAUGGUUAAGUGGGAAACGAUGUGGGAAGGCCCAGACAGCCAGGAUGUUGGCUUAGAAGCAGCCAUCAUUUAAAGAAAGCGUAAUAGCUCACUGGUCGAGUCGGCCUGCGCGGAAGAUGUAACGGGGCUAAACCAUGCACCGAAGCUGCGGCAGCGAACGUAUCACCCAAGACAACUUUACGGAGUUGACGAUUGACGGAGCGAAGCGACGUCAAAGCGUUCAUUAAAGUCGAGUUGGCUUAGGGAUACGUUCGUUGGGUAGGGGAGCGUUCUGUAAGCCUGUGAAGGUGUGUCGUGAGGCAUGCUGGAGGUAUCAGAAGUGCGAAUGCUGACAUAAGUAACGAUAAAGCGGGUGAAAAGCCCGCUCGCCGGAAGACCAAGGGUUCCUGUCCAACGUUAAUCGGGGCAGGGUGAGUCGACCCCUAAGGCGAGGCCGAAAGGCGUAGUCGAUGGGAAACGGGUUAAUAUUCCCGUACUUGGUGUUACUGCGAAGGGGGGACGGAGAAGGCUAUGUUGGCCGGGCGACGGUUGUCCCGGUUUAAGCGUGUAGGUGUGUGUUCCAGGUAAAUCCGGUUCACUUUAACACUGAGGCGUGAUGACGAGGCACUACGGUGCUGAAGCAACAAAUGCCCUGCUUCCA